rnacentral:rRNA from 1 species
UCGACGGCAGCACGGGUGCUUGCACCUGGUGGCGAGUGGCGAACGGGUGAGUAAUGCGUCGGAACGUACCGAGUAAUGGGGGAUAACGCAGCGAAAGUUGUGCUAAUACCGCAUACGCCCUGAGGGGGAAAGUGGGGGACCGCAAGGCCUCACGUUAUUCGAGCGGCCGACGUCUGAUUAGCUAGUUGGUGGGGUAAAGGCCUACCAAGGCGACGAUCAGUAGCGGGUCUGAGAGGAUGAUCCGCCACACUGGGACUGAGACACGGCCCAGACUCCUACGGGAGGCAGCAGUGGGGAAUUUUGGACAAUGGGGGCAACCCUGAUCCAGCCAUUCCGCGUGAGUGAAGAAGGCCUUCGGGUUGUAAAGCUCUUUCAGCUGGAACGAAACGGUACGCGCUAACAUCGUGUGCUAAUGACGGUACCGGCAGAAGAAGCACCGGCUAACUACGUGCCAGCAGCCGCGGUAAUACGUAGGGUGCGAGCGUUAAUCGGAAUUACUGGGCGUAAAGCGUGCGCAGGCGGAUUGUUAAGCAAGACGUGAAAUCCCCGGGCUUAACCUGGGAAUGGCGUUUUGAACUGGCAGUCUAGAGUGCGUCAGAGGGGGGUGGAAUUCCACGUGUAGCAGUGAAAUGCGUAGAGAUGUGGAGGAACACCGAUGGCGAAGGCAGCCCCCUGGGAUGACACUGACGCUCAUGUACGAAAGCGUGGGUAGCAAACAGGAUUAGAUACCCUGGUAGUCCACGCCCUAAACGAUGUCAACUGGUUGU